UGCAGCCUUAAAAAGAAAAAAAGAAAAUGUUGUGGUAGCGUAUUAUGAAGUAAUACAUAGUAUUUAGCUUAAACAAACAAGAGAUACAUAUAGGUACACAGAUGGAUCAUAAAAACACUAUUGGUUGAAAAAUGUAAGAAACAAUGAGAUUUAAGGUACAGUGCUAUUUAUGUAAAUUGGAAGAAUUACGUAUCAAAACACAACUACUUUUUUUGUAAUCAUGUUAGGCCUAUUAAGGAUGAAUUCUAAUCAUAUGAAUGUAAUAUAUGAAGGAGGAAAUUGGAAAAAAAAAAAAACCCAAAAUUAAGUAUGUGCAACUAGUGGUAAUUUGAUAUAAAAUGAAAAACCUGGUUUAUUCAACUCUUUGCCCUUGAAAUCUGAUUCAGAUUGUGGAGAAGGCAAAAUCAGAUGAAAAAAAUUCAAGAAUGUCAAUAAUAGUAAUUGUAAAUAGAUUAAAUUUGUUAAAAGAAAAUUUCAGAUUGAAAGGACACAUUUUUUUUCUGUUUAUGAGUCAGAUUUUAUGGCUAAAAUCUGAAAGAAAGUUAGAAAAUGGAAAAAGCACAUAGACAAAUUGCGACUGAAGGAAACUUUUUAUAAUACUAACAACUAACUAAAUAGAUUUUUAAGUCAUAGAGAAAUACUAGGAAUAAAAAAGAUAAUUGUGCAUGAAAGAGUUUACCAGUAGGCUGUCCCCAAAUAGUGGCAUAGCAAAUGUGCUGUAUUAUUAGGUGCACUUAAUAACCUAGUUCCAAAACAUAUAAACUAAGACUGGACAGAAAUGCAAGAAUAAAUUGAUAAAGUACACAGUCAUAGUGCAAUAUUUAAUAGACUUCUUCCAAAAUAGAUAAGUAGAAAAACAUGGAGUUCCUGUCGUGGCGCAGUGGUUAACGAGUCCGACUAGGAACCAUGAGGUUGCGGGUUUGGUCCCUGCCCUUGCUCAGUGGGUUAAUGAUCCAGCGUUGCUGUGAGCUGUGGUGUAGGUUGCAGAUGCGGCUCAGAUCCCGCGUUGCUGUGGCUCUGGCGUAGGCUGGCGGCUACAGCUCUUAUUAGACCCCUGGUCUGGGAACCUCCACAUGCCGGGGGAGCGGCCCAAGAAAUGGCAAAAAGAUGAAAAAAAAAAUGUGGAAGAGUUUAUCAACACAUCUAACAAGAUUGAUUAAUAUAUAUAUGUAUAUAUAGAGAGAGACAGGUAUAAAUAUAUAGAAAUUUAGACAUAUUCCUGCCCCUUAAAAAUAUAGAGAAUACAUAUUUUUUCAAAAUACAGGUGAAAUGUUUAUAAAUACUCACCACAUACUAGGUCAAAGAUGAAAUUAGUAUAUUCCGAAGAAUGGCUAUCAUAUGGACCAUGCUCUUUGAUCAUAAUUAGCUUUUUUAGUAAUAAAAAGACAUUAAAGCAACAACCCCUUUAUAUGGAAACAGUAAGCAAUGUACCUACACAUAAAAUGGUGAUUCUAUGCAAGGGCUUUUCUGUUUUUGAGUAAUGGAUAAAUUCAAGGACACUAAGGAAUGCAUGAAGCAUAAUAAAAUCCGUGUAAGAGUAAACAAACCUUUAUAUCAUUCGGCCCUCAGAGCACUCCCAGGGUAGGUGUUUCUGUUUUCAGUUUUACUGAUGAAGAAACUGAGGGUCAGUAACUUGCACAGAGUCACACAGCUUAUAAGUUGUGCAAACAGUAUUCACAUCUAUUUUCUUUUCUUUUCUUUUUUUUAAACAGCCACACCUGGGGCAUACGGAAGUUCCCAGGCUUGGGGUAGAAUCAGAGCUGUAGCUGCAGACCUAUCCCACAGCCACGGCAAUACCACAUUUAAGCCACAUCUGCAACCUACACUGCAGCUUGUGGCAACGUUGGAUCCUUAACCCACUGAGCGAGGCCAGGGAUCGAACCCGCCUCCUCAUGGAUACUGGUUGGGUACAUAACCUGCUGAGCCACAACAGGAACUCCUAUUUUCUUUAACACUGUAAUAGAAAGAGACAUAUAAAAGGACAUUAACUCUAAAGAGGAGAGGUGAAAUGGCUGAUCUGUACAAGUUGAAGGUGACUCAUCAUUCACUGGGCAGUUUUUCUGGAAGUAACAUGUGGAGGCCAUGUGCCAGCUUUUUAAGGAGUUGAUGCUGUGUAAUCAGGCCUUCCCAGAAGAGAGACUAGCUCUAUUUUUGUUUCCAAAGGCAUUUUGUCAACUGUAAGUCAUGUAACAAAUAUUAGAUGUUAUCAUUCAUGUUAUGUGUUGCCCAGAAGUCCUUUGCUUCCUGGAAGUUUUAUGGAAAAAGUUCAAAUUGUAUUUGUGAUAAAUUUUCAGAUAAUGUAAUUUAUGCUGAAAGAGUAGUAGUGUAAGAACUUUACUAGGAAAUUUUCACUAUCUUUCUAGACUGGAGAAUAAAAUAAGAUGAUUCACAUCAGAUUUUUUGUGUAUGGGUUGUCCUUUUUUAAAAAAAUUUAACCAUUUUUAAAAUUAUAGUUAAUUUUACAAUGUUGUGUUAGUUUCAGGUGGACAGCAAAGUGAUUCGGUUAUACAUGUAUUUUUUUCCAUUAUAGGUUAUUACAAGAUAUUGAAUAUAGUUCCCUGUGCUAUGCAGUAGGUCUUUGUUGCUUAUCUCUUUUGUAUAUAGUAGUGUGUGUGUGUUAAUCCCAAAUUCCUAAUUUAUUCCUCCCCCCCUUUCCCCUUUGGUAACUGUAAGUUUGUUUUCUGUCUGUGAGUCUGUUUCUGUUUUGUAACACAUCAAACUUUCAAGGAAGAUAAUAGUACUAUUCUCACUACUUUAAAAUUUGCCAAAAGGUAGAUUUCAGGUUGUGUUUUUACAUGCACAAUAACAAGAAACAAAGAGGGCAGGAGGAAACUUUUGGAGGUGGAUGGAUAUGUUUCUGGAAUAGUUAUAGUGAUGGUUUCAUGAUAUCUGCAAACUCAUCAAGUUGUAUACAUUAAACAUGUGCAGCUUUUGUAUCUCAAUAAAGUUGUUAAAAUAAAACAAAAUUCCAAAAAAAUUAUGUGAUUUCUGCCAGAUCCUACAGUGUACUGCUAACCUGGGGUCACUUUAAUUUCUCAACUUAGGGUAUCACCUAUAGACAGGGAGGUAUAAAAUUGGACUUGAGAUAUGAAAAAAAGCAGAGAGAAACGUAGGAUACAAUUUUCUCAAGGAGUCUAUAAUUAUCAUUAGUAUUUCUACCGUUAAGAAAAUUGAUCCUAAACUUGGAAAUAAAAUAAAAGGAUGACAACAUGUCCUUUCAGUGUCAUACCGGAAUAUUGUCUAAGAGUGAAUUGAUUCUCUCAGGCAGCAUAGCCGAAAAGGACUCUCUGUGCUGAUGAAAAUGUCUAUAUGCUGCCCCAUAUAGUAGCCAUCAGCCACAUGUGGCUAUGGAGCACUUGAUGUAGCAAAUGCAAAUGAGAAACUGAAUUUUAACUUUAAUUAAUUUAAACAUGUGUGUAGUGGUUCCUACAUUGGUCAGUGUAGCUUUAGCGGAAUGUACCUCUGACUUACUAUUUACUGUUUGGUUUACGAGUAUUUUGUGGAGGAUUUUUGCAUUUAUGUUCAUCAGUAAUAUUGGCUUGUAUUUUUCUUUUUUCCUGAUUUCUUUGUCUGGUGUUGGUAUCAGGGUGAUGCUGGCCUCAUAGAUUGAUUUCAGAAAGUGUUCUUUCCUCUGAAAUUUUUUGGAAAUAGUUUCAGAAGGAUAGGUGUUAUUUCUUCUCUAAAUAUUUGGCAGAAUUCACCUGUGAAGCCAUCUGGUCCUGGGCAUCUAUUUGUUGGGAGUUUUAAAAUUACUGAUUCAAUUUUAGAACUGGUAGUUGGUCUGUUUUCUAUUUCUUCCUGGUUCAGUCUUGGGUGACUUACUAUUUACUGUUGAUUACGGCUGAGACUCUGUGAAGUUACAUCUUUAUUCGCAGAAAAUUGAUGAUAUGAAAAAAGACUUAUUUGGUAGAGAUGUAUUUUCCAUCUAGUAGAAAUGAUAACCCCCAAAGUUAAGAUUAUUUAACUCAUUAAUGAGGGAAUCAGCAGGAUGGGUCCAGCUGAAGUAUGAUGGCAAGUGUUAGAUACAGGUUAAUAUCCUACAGUUUUAAUUAUUGGGCAAUAAAAUGAUAACUUUGGGGGUUAUAUAUGGAGAUUUCCACACUGCAUUACUGAGGCUUGGGCAUAGCAAAAGAGAGGGCAGGAUAACUAUACCAAUAUAAAAUAAGCAAAAAGAAACCAACCAACUGGAAUGUAACAUGUAAAACACAGCUGAAGAGAAUCUAAAAUUAAGCCUAACACAAGGAAAUGAAGAAUAUGCCAUACGUGUGCUUCAUGCUCUGGAAAAAUCUAAUAAGGAUAUGAAUUUGAUAAAACAAGAGCCCCAAGGUAUUAUAUUAAAUCAAUACAAUUAGAGGGAAAGAGUGAUUGAAGUGCCAACACAAUUCCAUUACAGAUAACAAAUAAACCCCAAACAGCAAGUGGCAGAAUAGACAAAGCUUAAAAUCAAAUCACUAGCAUGAAGGAGAAGCUUGAGUUAGUUUCAGUGAAUGUGAAGAU
rnacentral:lncRNA from 1 species